AUUGAACGCUGGCGGCAUGCUUUACACAUGCAAGUCGAACGGUAACAGGGAGCUUGCUCCGCUGCCGAGUGGCGAACGGGUGAGGAAUGCGUCGGAACGUGCCGAGUAGUGGGGGAUAACGCAUCGAAAGGUGUGCUAUUACCGCAUACGUACUGAGGUAGAAAGUGGGGGAGCUUCGGGUCUCACGCACUUCGAGAGGCCGACGUAUGAUUGGCUAGUUGGUGAGGUAAAGGCUCACCCAGGCGACGAUCCGUAGCGGGUCUGAGAGGAUGAUCCGCCACACGGGGAGUGAGACACUGCCCAGAGUCCUACGGGAGGCAGCAGUGGGGAAUUUUGGACAAUGGGCGCAAGCCUGAUCCAGCCAUGCCGCGUGUCUGAAGAAGGCCUUCGGGUUGUAAAGGACUUUUGUCCGGGAGGAAAUGCCUGGUGUUAAUAGCACUGGGAGCUGAGAGUACCGGAAGAAUAAGCACCGGCUAACUACGUGCCAGCCGCCGCAGUAACAC
rnacentral:rRNA from 1 species